rnacentral:pre_miRNA from 4 species
UCUCAUGGAUGAACAAUGAAAGUGGUUUAUUGAGGUUGAAUCUACUCCUGGUGACGAUGCUGUGAA